rnacentral:rRNA from 1 species
GAUGAACGCUAGCGACAGGCCUAACACAUGCAAGUCGAGGGGCAGCACAUGCGUAGCAAUACAAUGGUGGCGACCGGCGCACGGGUGAGUAACACGUAUGCAACCUACCUGUAAGAGGGGAAUAACCCGGAGAAAUUCGGACUAACACCGCAUAAUACCUCGAAGCUGCAUGGCUUUGAGGUUAAAUAUUUAUAGCUUACAGAUGGGCAUGCGUAACAUUAGAUAGUUGGUGAGGUAACGGCUCACCAAGUCAACGAUGUUUAGGGGUUCUGGGAGGAAGGACCCCCACACUGGUACUGAGACACGGACCAGACUCCUACGGGAGGCAGCAGUGAGGAAUAUUGGUCAAUGGGCGAGAGCCUGAAACAGCCAAGUCGCGUGAAGGAAGAAGGUUCUAUGGAUUGUAAACUUCUUUUGUAAGGGAAUAAAAAAGCUUACGUGUAGGCUAUUGUAUGUACUUUACGAAUAAGGAUCGGCUAACUCCGUGCCAGCCGCCGCGGUAA